AUGCAGAAAUCAGGAAGCAGUAAUAUUAAUAACAACAAUAAACCCAAAGUUUGACCUUCUCUCUAAGCUUUUAGGCAGAAAAAAUGAAAUAUUUGUUUUGACACCCACUAAGCAUAUACCAUCCAUGGUAAAUGUUUAAUGAGAAUUUUCUGAAGUAUAUUUUGAUUGAUAUUCAUGAUAAAUUAAAUAGAUUGCUUCAACUCGCAUAAGAAAAAAUUACCCAGCA
rnacentral:misc_RNA from 1 species